GAUGAACGCUGGCGGCGUGCCUAAUACAUGCCAGUCGAGCGAACAGAUAAGGAGCUUACUCCUUUGACGUUGGCGGCGGACGGGUGAGUAACACGUGGGUAACCUACCUAUAAGACUGGGAUAACUUCGGGAAACCGGAGCUAAUACCGGAUAACAUUUGGAACCGCAUGGUUCUAAAGUGAAAGAUGGUUUUGCUAUCACUUAUAGAUGGACCCGCGCCGUAUUAGCUAGUUGGUAAGGUAACGGCUUACCAAGGCGACGAUACGUAGCCGACCUGAGAGGGUGAUCGGCCACACUGGAACUGAGACACGGUCCAGACUCCUACGGGAGGCAGCAGUAGGGAAUCUUCCGCAAUGGGCGAAAGCCUGACGGAGCAACGCCGCGUGAGUGAUGAAGGGUUUCGGCUCGUAAAACUCUGUUAUUAGGGAAGAACAAAUGUGUAAGUAACUGUGCACGUCUUGACGGUACCUAAUCAGAAAGCCACGGCUAACUACGUG
rnacentral:rRNA from 1 species